AUUGAACGCUGGCGGCAGGCCUAACACAUGCAAGUCGAGCGGAUGAGAGGAGCUUGCUUCUCGAUUCAGCGGCGGACGGGUGAGUAAUGCCUAGGAAUCUGCCUGGUAGUGGGGGACAACGUUUCGAAAGGAACGCUAAUACCGCAUACGUCCUACGGGAGAGAGCAGGGGACCUUCGGGCCUUGCGCUAUCAGAUGAGCCUAGGUCGGAUUAGCUAGUUGGUGAGGUAAUGGCUCACCAAGGCGACGAUCCGUAACUGGUCUGAGAGGAUGAUCAGUCACACUGGAACUGAGACACGGUCCAGACUCCUACGGGAGGCAGCAGUGGGGAAUAUUGGACAAUGGGCGAAAGCCUGAUCCAGCCAUGCCGCGUGUGUGAAGAAGGUCUUCGGAUUGUAAAGCACUUUAAGUUGGGAGGAAGGGUUGUAGAUUAAUACUCUGCAAUUUUGACGUUACCGACAGAAUAAGCACCAGCUAACUCUGUGCCAGCCGCCGCGGUAAAAC
rnacentral:rRNA from 1 species